AUUGAACGCUUGCGGCAGGCCUACCACAUGCACGUCGAACGAGUGGCGGACGGGUGAGUAAUGUCUGGGAAACUGCCUGAUGGAGGGGGAUAACUACUGGAAACGGUAGCUAAUACCGCAUACCAUCGGAUGUGCCCAGAUGGGUUGAGCUAGUUGGUGGGGUAACGGCUCACCUAGGCGACGAUCCCUAGCUGGUCUGAGAGGAUGACAAGCCACACUGGAACGGAGACACGUUUCAGACGCCUACGGGAGGCAGCAGUGGGGAAUAUUGCACAAUGGGCGCAAGCCUGAUGCAGCGAUGCCGCGUGUAUGAAGAAGGCCUUCGGGUUGUAAAGUACUUUCAGCGGGGAGGCGUUACCCGCAGAAGAAGCACCGGCUAACUCCGUGCCAGCAGCCGCGGUAAUUC
rnacentral:rRNA from 1 species